rnacentral:lncRNA from 1 species
ACCCUCUGGAACUUUUGUUCCCUGAGCGCUUUCCAUAGAGCACUGGAGGAAGGGAAUGAAUAUGGUGGCUUCCCAGUCUCCAGCCUGGAGGAGCUGAGUGCUUGGGGCCCAUUCCUCAGUGUGCCCUCAGGGGAAAAGUGCUCAAUCACUCCCAUCUCCCUGGUCUCUGGCCACACUCCGAGCUCACCCAGUCUGUGACCGAGUGUUUCUGUCUCUGAGCACAGCCCUGUUUGGAGUCUCCAAACCCAGCAAAUUCCUGCACCGCUCCUGUGCCACUCCUCCAAAUGAAGAAAGUUAUGCCUCUACAAUGAAGCCUCCAUGAAAGCUGGAAGCUCUGGUGGGAUCUUCUGGGUUGGUGGACACCUCGAGGUACCGCUGGGCAAGUGGAACUUGUGAAGAGGAUACAGGAUCUCCGCACCCCUUCCCACAGCUUACCCUAUGCAUCUCUUCCAUCAGGCUGUUUCGAGCUUCAUAAUAAACUGGUAAUAAAGUAGAUAAAAUGUCGAGGUCUGUGAGCCGUUCUUGCAAAGUAAUCAAACUCAAAGAAAUGUCCUAGGAUCCGCCGGUUCAGAGCCGGCCAGUUAGAAGCACAGGCAACCACCUGGACUUGUUAUUGGCAUGGCAGGGGCACUCUUGUGGGACUGAGAACCUAGCCUGUAGGAUCUGAU